CCGUGGGCAACGCCAGCGGCCCCGUCCUCGUCUCCUGGCCGGGGGGGCCCAGACCCCAGCAGGUGCUGGGGCUGGGGGGCAGCACAGAGCUGCUCAUCAGCCCCGCGGGCAUCGCCGGGGGCACCGGGGGGCUCUGCGAGGUGCGCUUCAAUGCCUCCGGUCCCCCCGUCCGCAGGAGCGUGGAGCUGCACGGGGCCAAGGGACUCCAGCCCAGAGCUCCAGACCCUCCUGCAAGCCCAGCACCAGCAGGGAGAGCUGACGUACGCCCAGCUCCGCUUCGCCACCCCAGCGAGGGCAGCGCCGUGACCCACGGGGCUGGGCCCCAAGGCCUCGGUGGCGGCGCCGUGCAGCCCUGGGAGGCUGCGGCUGCCCCGGCCGCCGGGACAGCGGGGAGGAAGGAACGGGACCGAACCUCCAAGGAGGGGGCUCGAAGGAGCAGUGAAUGACGGGAGAGGACCUCAAAUGUGGCGUUAAUAAAGAGAUUGAAACUAAAAUGAGGAGUAAAUCG
rnacentral:lncRNA from 1 species